rnacentral:rRNA from 1 species
GUGAAAACCUGCAGCUUAACUGUAGAAUUGCCAUUGAUACUGUUAGUCUUGAGUACGGUCAAGGUAGGCGGAAUGUGUAAUGUAGCGGUGAAAUGCUUAGAUAUUACACAGAACACCGAUUGCGAAGGCAGCUUACUGGGCCAUUACUGACGCUGAGGCACGAAAGCGUGGGGAGCGAACAGGAUUAGAUACCCUGGUAGUCCACGCCGUAAACGAUGAUCACUCGCUGUUGGCGAUACACAGUCAGCGGCUAAGCAAAAGCAUUAAGUGAUCCACCUGGGGAGUACGGCCGCAAGGCUGAAACUCAAAGGAAUUGACGGGGGCCCGCACAAGCGGAGGAACAUGUGGUUUAAUUCGAUGAUACGCGAGGAACCUUACCUGGGCUUAAAUGUAGAGUGCAUGAGGUGGAAACACUUCUUUCCUUCGGGACUCUUUUGCAAGGUGCUGCAUGGUUGUCGUCAGCUCGUGCC